AUAAGUGUUUUAUUAGUUUAGUUUCAGUUUCUCUCGUUUUGUAUUCACCUACUACUUACUUCAUGGUAUUUAUGCUAGUUUUUGUUUUUAUUCAGAAAUAAAUAUGACGUUCAUUCAACUGAAAAUUUGCUAUUUUUGAAAAAACCCCAAAAAACCCAAUAAUAGUGGGUUUUAUCAAUUGAAAAAACCCGAAAACACCCGCUGGGUUUUAUAAGAUGGGGAAAUUCUAUGCCAACCCUGGUGUACAAAAUAAGAAAGUAUAUAAAGGACAACAAACAUCUUCCAUAAGCGAUCAAAAUUGUAUAACUGAAAUUCAGGAAAUAGAUUCUGCUCCACCUUUAGAAAAACUGUAAAUAGUAUUUAAGGCAACGAUUGUGAAUGAGUGAGAAGUCUAAUAAAGCCACGACGAGAUACUGUAUUAGAGCGUACGAUUUGGAGGUAUUUUUGAUUAGAUAAAUUUUGUUAAGUACAAUAUAAAUUAGAUUUGAUAAUGUGUAGUAUUUCCUAAUAAAUUAAAUACUAUUAAGUGUUUAUUGUUCUUGUAAGUUAGUGUGGUAAAUAAAUAAUAUGAAGUAA